UACGUAGGGGGCGAGCGUUGUCCGGAUUUAUUGGGCGUAAAGAGUGCGUAGGUGGUUUAAUAAGUUACUGGUGGGAAAUCGGGACUCAACCCCGUGGAAGUCAGUAAUACUAUUAAACUAGAGGACCGGAGAGGUUAACGGAAUUCUAUGUGUAGCGGUAAAAUGCGUAAAUAUAUAGAGGAACAUCAAUUGGCGAAGGCAGUUAACUAUUCGGCUCCUGACGUUGAGGCACGAAAGCGUGGGGAGCAAGACGG
rnacentral:rRNA from 1 species